GAAAGUAAGUCUGUUCGACUUNUAAUAUAUUACAUGAUUUGAGUUCAGACCGGCGUAAGCCAGGUCGGUUUCUAUCUUCUUUUAAAAAAUUUCAGUACGAAAGGAAAAAAUUUUUGGUGUUUUNAC
rnacentral:rRNA from 1 species